rnacentral:tRNA from 1 species
GGCGUCGUAGCCAAGUGGUAAGGCACCGGUUUGCAAAACCGCUAUUCACCAGUUCGAGUCUGGUCGACGCCU